CCUACGGGGCGCAGCAGUGAGGAAUAUUGGUCAAUGGACGAGAGUCUGAACCAGCCAAGUAGCGUGAAGGAUGACUGCACUAUGGGUUGUAAACUUCUUUUAUAUGGGAAUAAAACGUUUCACGUGUGGGAUUUUGUAUGUACCAUAUGAAUAAGGAUCGGCUAACUCCGUGCCAGCAGCCGCGGUAAUACGGAGGAUCCGAGCGUUAUCCGGAUUUAUUGGGUUUAAAGGGAGCGUAGGUGGAUUGUUAAGUCAGUUGUGAAAGUUUGCGGCUCAACCGUAAAAUUGCAGUUGAAACUGGCAGUCUUGAGUACGUUAGAGGUGGGCGGAAUUCGUGGUGUAGCGGUGAAAUGCUUAGAUAUCACGAAGAACUCCGAUUGCGAAGGCAGUUCACUGGACUGCAACUGACACUGAGGCUCGAAAGUGUGGGUAUCAAACAGGAUUAGAUACCCCUGUAGUC
rnacentral:rRNA from 1 species